GGGCCCGCACAAGCAGCGGAGCGUGUGGUUUAAUUCGAUGUUACACGAAGAACCUUACCUGGGUUUGACAUGCUAGUGGUAAUGAAGCGAAAGCUAAGUGACCCGCAAGGGAGCUAGCACAGGUGCUGCAUGGCUGUCGUCAGCCCGUGUCGUGAGAUGUUCGGUUAAGUCCGCUAACGAGCGCAACCCUCGCUGUGUGUUACAAGUGUCACACAGGACCGCCGGUCUUAAGCCGGAGGAAGGUGGGGAUGACGUCAAGUCAGCAUGGCCUUUAUGUCCAGGGCUACACACACGCUACAAUGGUCAGCACAAUAGGUAGCCAAGCCGCGAGGUGGAGCCAAUCCUCAAAGCUGGCCUCAGUUCAGAUCGCAGGCUGCAACCCGCCUGCGUGAAGCCGGAGUUGCUAGUAACCGCAGGUCAGCUAUACUGCGGUGAAUACGUUCCCGGGGCUU
rnacentral:rRNA from 1 species